UGGAAUACAAUUUUUUUCUCUCUGUGGAAUACAAGUAUUUUGGUUUUUAUUUUUUGUGCUUUGGGUUUUUUUGGUGCUGGAAGAUCUCAUCCUCCUCCUUGGUUGGAAUACAAAAUUUACUGUUUGUGGAAUACAAGUUUUUUUGGGGUGUUUUUGUUUGGUGCUUGGAAGAUCUCAUCAUUUUUCAGGGUGUGGAAUACCUUUGUGGAAUACAAGCUUUUUGGGUUUGUAUGAUGCUUGGAAGAUCUAAUCCUUUUUGGUUUGUGGAAUACAAAUGUUUUUUGGGGGGUUUUUUUGGUGGCUGGCAUUGGUAAGUGGAAUUGGUGUUGGUAAGUGGGAACAUCCUACUUCAUUUAGGUAAGUCCCAAUUUUUCUCUUGAUAUUUGGAAUAUGUAAAUAUUCUAGAGUAUCCCUGGGCAGGGUAGGGCGAAGGAAUACCACAUCUGUCUACAAGACAGAAGUCUCCACUUAGCGGAAACUAUUGCAGAGUAAGAGGAAAAUUAUACUUAAGGCAUUAUUCCCCAUCCUUUUUUAUAAAGCUGAAAGUAAUAGUACUGGAUUUGGAAUCAGGUGGAAUGAAGAUGCUCUUGGUUUGAAUCUCUACUCUGUCACCUGGACAGUGUCUACAUGACAAGUAGUCUCCACUUAGGGGAAAGUAUAUUGCAAAGUAAGAGGAAAAAUGUUAUACUCAGAACAUGACUUCACCCACCUUUAUAAAGCUGAAAGUAACAUUACAGUAUUUUGAAUCAGGUAGAAAGUCCUUGCUUUAAUUCUCUGGUCUGUCAUUUUUCUCUAGACCUCCAUUUACUCAUUUUUAACACGAGUUGAGAUUUAGUUGACCUUUGAGGUCCCUUCCACCUCAAUUCUGUGAAUGUCAAACUUUCAGCAGUCUACAGUAAAAGACAUGUUUAAAUAUAAAAAUAGCCUUUCCAGCCCUUAUGACUGUGUAUUAAUAUGUAUAAUUUGUUUUCUAGGUGUGGUGCAAGCCCUGCAUGGAAGCACUCAAGCAGCCCUCCAGGUCAUUGGUUGGAUCCUUUCAUUGUGGACUUCUGGACCAGAAUCAUCCAUGUUGAAGUCACAACCCAGACCCACUGCUGAGGACACCUACCACACCUUGCUGCCCCGUGACCAGAGAAGAAUACGGAGAAGAUGACUUUUCACCAAGAAAACCUUUUGUUAAUUAAUUUCUUCAAUAAUUAUAUGUCUUUUAUCAUAACUACAAAUCACCUCCAAAGACUGUAAGCUUCAAGAGGGCAGGCUAUUUAUUAAUCUCUGAAUUUGGACCACAUUUUGUUAGUUUCCCCUCCUUCCUUGUUUAUAUCAUGCUUUUGUGAACUCCCUUGGUGCUUCAGCAGAACCACCACUUGCUGCUUUCCUCACCUUUCCCCCCAGAUCAUGUACCCUGAAUAAAUGGUUUCUUUUUAAAAAAAC